AGUGAACGCUGGCGGUAGGCCUAACACAUGCAAGUCGAACGGCAGCACAGUAAGAGCUUGCUCUUACGGGUGGCGAGUGGCGGACGGGUGAGGAAUACAUCGGAAUCUACUUUUUCGUGGGGGAUAACGUAGGGAAACUUACGCUAAUACCGCAUACUACCUACGGGUGAAAGCAGGGGAUCUUCGGACCUUGCGCGUUUGAAUGAGCCGAUGUCGGAUUAGCUAGUUGGCGGGGUAAAGGCCCACCAAGGCGACGAUCCGUAGCUGGUCUGAGAGGAUGAUCAGCCACACUGGAACUGAGACACGGUCCAGACUCCUACGGGAGGCAGCAGUGGGGAAUAUUGGACAAUGGGCGCAAGCCUGAUCCAGCAAUGCCGCGUGGGUGAAGAAGGCCUUCGGGUUGUAAAGCCCUGUUGUUGGGAAAGAAAAGCAGCAGGUUAAUACCCCGAUGUUCUGACGGUACCCAAAGAAUAAGCACCGGCUAACUUCGUG
rnacentral:rRNA from 1 species